CCCGGCUGAAGCGGCGUAACCGAGAACGAGCGCCCGCUGCGGGCGACAGAAACCUGUGCUUGUUCCUCCCCAAGAUCCCGUGCUCCGCCCCACCUCCCUCGCGCCAAUCUCCAUUUGCUGCUCCUUCCAAAUCAAUCUCCCGCGCGUCAAAUUGAACUCUAGCGCGCCAAAUCAGUUGCAGGCGACUCGAACGCAUCUUCCACCUGCAGAUCCCGUUCUCCGUCCACGAAAUCCCCUCCCCCCUUCCCGCUGCGACGCCACGAAAUCAGCUCUAAACCUUAGGCUUGCCAGACUUGUGGUCGGCGCCUCUGCAAUGGCUCGGCAGUCCAACGGGGCCUUUGAGCCUCCUCGUCGUUCAUCCCUUCCCAUGUAAAUUCGGGUUCUACUCCUACAGGAACCGACUGUUGCGUUCAGUAAGCCUCACAUGUGUUCUUCAGCCGCAUUUUAAUCCCAUCGUUUCUCUUUUGAUGCCUGCGGUGUUCAUGCAUGAAUCCAGGAACAAUUUCUGAUCAGUUAUUUUUGCUGAAUUAGCUCAAUCGAUUCACCUGUUGUGCCCUUUUAUUGUGGCAAAGUCCUCAUAAUUCAUCCCGUUUUCCCCCUUUGUUGCAGAGGAGUACUUUGUGGUGGUGAAUUCUUGUCCUAUAUGAGCCAAUUAUUAACCAUUAACAUCGCACAGAGGAACUGGAGAAUCGGAAAGAGGUCCAACAUCCGUGUCAAUUUGGUUGCCUAGAUCAGGGUAUCAGUAUGAUUUAUGUUGUUGGAUGAAUGGGUACAAAGAUACCGACCACACCAGAUCAUUUAUACAUGGAGGCAUCAAGUACUUGUAUUCCUAAUUCAGCCGACCUCUCAGCCAAUCCAUCGUGAGGCUGUUUGGUUCCUUUCCUUAUUUUUAGCACGUGUCACAUCGAAUGUUUAGAUAUUAAUUAGGAAUAUUAAACGUAGAUUAUUUACAAAACCCAUUACUAGAUGGAGGCUAAACGGCCAGACAAAUCUAUUAAGCUUAAUUAAUCCAUCAUUAGCAAAUGUUUACUGUAGCAACACAUUAUCAAAUCAUGGACUAAUUAGGCUUAAUAGAUUCAUCUCACCGUUUAGCCUCCACUUAUGUAAUGGGUUUUGUAAAUAGCCUACGUUUAAUACUUCUAAUUAGUAUCCAAACAUUUGAUGUGACGGGUGCUAAAAAUAAGCAAGAGUAACCAAACC
rnacentral:lncRNA from 1 species